rnacentral:lncRNA from 1 species
UGUCUUUGAACUUCACUCCCAGGCUCAGGUCUCUAGUUUCUUGUUUAACGUCCUAAUUAGAAGAAAGUCUUGAGAGGAAUUUUGUCCUGACUGAACAGAUUUUUGACCAGUUAUCAAGGCAUGUCUUGGCUUCAUCCUUAUCCUCUUGCAACAUGGCUCCCAUGAGUGACAAGGCUGUGACCUGGAUAGAUUCCAAACUGGCUCGAAGAAAUUGUGUGACUUCUAUGGGAUUCUCCACUUGAGAUUCACAUCUAAUAACAGGGGUCUCCUUUCCUCCGGUAGAGCAGGUGUAACAUUUCCCAAUUCUGAGUCAGCCCUCAUGGUCCCUGAGUUGUCAACAUAUCUGUCUCAGGGAAACUGGCACGUCAAUGUCACCCAAUGGGAUUGCUAGAGAAGAAAAGCCUGCUGAAGCCUUUUCAGAGUGUGGAGUUGAGGAAACUUAUACAAUAUGCCUAAGACCCCAGCCCAAGGUGGUGGCACCCACUUUAAGGAUAUGUCUUCUCAGCUCAAUGAACAUAAUCAAGAUAGCUUGAACGCUUAGAAGAUCACCGGAGUGCUUGCACCAAUCCUGUGUCUUAUGUUGAAUGGAGCAUCGGGGCUCCUUCCUUGGUUAAGAUGAUUGAGCAGAAAGGAUCCAUUCACAGUUUCAGCAACAUCUCUGGACUAGCUAUGUGAAGGAACACUGCAAAGAGCUGGAAUUCCAGGUAGCAUAGCAGCUUGGAGCAUAGACAGGACAUGGUGAAGUGGAUUCUGUCCAAGAGGAGAGAGCAGGGCCUUCAGGAAAAACAGGUCCCUAUUCAGGGAAGUGAAAGCGUCUGAGACGUCUCUGGAUUGUCCAUUAAGCAGCACUCUAAAAGGUGGACUGAUUCCUGCCCCAUGGAAACUCUUCAUGAUGAAGGGUUAAUGCAGGACUUUAAAAAGUCCCUCCCGUUUCCAAAAUGAACAGUUUGUCUUGAA